UACGUAGGGUGCGAGCGUUAAUCGGAAUUACUGGGCGUAAAGCGUGCGCAGGCGGUUGUGCAAGACAGAUGUGAAAUCCCCGGGCUUAACCUGGGAACUGCAUUUGUGACUGCACGGCUAGAGUGCGGCAGAGGGGAGUGGAAUUCCGCGUGUAGCAGUGAAAUGCGUAGAUAUGCGGAGGAACACCGAUGGCGAAGGCAGCUCCCUGGGCCUGCACUGACGCUCAUGCACGAAAGCGUGGGGAGCAAACAGGAUUAGAUACCCCCGUAGUCC
rnacentral:rRNA from 1 species